GGUUUCUUCCACAAGCUGAUGGACCUUUUUAGAAUCUGUGAAGAUCUUGAAAAUAUUGAUGGUCUUCACAUGAUAUUCAAAAUAGUCAGAGGAAUCAUUUUGCUCAAUAGUCCUCAAAUCUUUGAUAAAAUAUUUGGAGAUGAGUUGAUCAUGGACGUUAUUGGUUCACUUGAGUAUGACCCUGAGGUUCCGCAUGCCCAACAUCAUCGUAAUUUUCUGAAAGAGCAUGUUGUUUUCAAGGAGGCCAUACCAAUCAAAGAUCCUAUUGUCCU
rnacentral:misc_RNA from 1 species